AACGAACGCUGGCGGCAGGCCUAACACAUGCAAGUCGAGCGAGAUCUUCGGGUCUAGCGGCGGACGGGUGAGUAACGCGUGGGAAUAUGCCUCUUGGUACGGAAUAGCCUCGGGAAACUGGGAGUAAUACCGUAUGUGCUCUUUGGGGGAAAGAUUUAUCGCCAAGAGAUUAGCCCGCGUUGGAUUAGGUAGUUGGUGGGGUAAUGGCCUACCAAGCCGACGAUCCAUAGCUGGUUUGAGAGGAUGAUCAGCCACACUGGGACUGAGACACGGCCCAGACUCCUACGGGAUGCAGCAGUGGGGGAUCUUAGACAAUGGGGGCAACCCUGAUCUAGCCAUGCCUCGUGAGUGAUGAAGGCCUUAGGGUUGUAAAGCUCUUUCAGCUGGGAAGAUAAUGACGGUACCAACAGAAGAAGCCCCGGCUAACUCCGUG
rnacentral:rRNA from 1 species